rnacentral:rRNA from 1 species
AUACGGAGGACGCGAGCGUUAUCCGGAUUCAUUGGGUUUAAAGGGUGCGCAGGCGGCCGUGCAAGUCAGCGGUGAAAGCCCGGGGCUCAACCCCGGAAGUGCCGUUGAUACUGCGUGGCUGGAAUGCGGUCGAGGCGGGCGGAAAGGGGCGUGUAGCGGUGAAAAGCGUAGAUAUGCCACAGAACGCCGAUAGCGGAGGCAGCUCGCCAGGCCUGCAUUGACGCUCGGGCACGAAAGCGUGGGGAUCGAACAGGAUUAGAUACCCUGUUAGUCCACGCCGUAAACGAUGGGCGCUCGUCGUCGGCGACAGACAGUCGGCGGCCAAGCGAAAGCGAUAAGCGCCCCACCUGGGGAGUACGGUCGCAAGGCUGAAACUCAAAUGAAUUGACGGGG